ensembl:lincRNA
UAACCACUUUGAAAGGAGGUGUUAUCAUCAGGCACAGAACCUGCUUCAUUCCCACCCCCACCCUUUUCUGGACUCUUCUUCGCACCUGUACACAAGUGGGAUCUCUACCUGCUGAGUCAUCACAGUUGAGUGACAAGUAUCCAUUUGAUGUCAGAGAUGGACUGUGACAAAGAAGUAAGAAUACUCCCUCUUGUGGUCCUUGAGAAAAAUAUUCCAUCCUCUGAGAGUGUAUUGAGAAAACAGAAAUUUUGGAUUCAAAGAACAAUAUCGAUGUGUAUGGAGGUGGACAUGACUUGGCCUGAUGGUGCCAGGGAGAAACGGUGGGGCCAGGAGCCAUGAACAGAUUUUCCAGAAAACUUGCUCUGAGUUAAUGCCCAAGAAGAGAAGAAAUGAUUUUGAACAGCUAAAUAUACGAGACCUUGUGUCAGGCUUUUUGGAGUUGAUAUCUCAAUUUGACAAAAUGUACAUCUUUGUAGAACUAAAAAGUUCAAUAGCUGCUUUGGUGUGCGUUUAGUUUGAUUUAGUCCCAGUUUCUGCUUUUCUUUCUAGACUCUGAUGUUUUUCGACCGUAGCCAUGUCUUUUCAUUCCUGUCAUUCUCUUUUAUACUUAGAAUACUCUGAGGAUUUGUCAUUAAAGUUAAAAUACACUAAGCAUUCAAGAUCUUUUAAAAUGGCAUUUUGAGUAAGGUAGAUUACUCUUCCCAUGGACAUCUUAGAGAGUCUUUUCAUUGCUGAGAAGGCCUCACUCAGGACGACCGACUCAUCAUUUUGCCGCAUAUGUGUUGUUGAGUCGGUGGAGCCUGACUGAGGCUCCAUUCUUUGCAGGCUGCUUCUGCAGCACUUCUUUGGAAGACUGGUUCUUUGGAAGACUGGUUCAGAAUAAGUGGAGAAAAGCCAGUAAACAUUUCUGAAAGUUCUGAAAUAAGGGAGUCUAAGGGGUCGCACAGAGUCAGACAUGACUGAAGAGACUUAGCAGCAGCAUCAGGGAAAGCUGAACUUAAAUUUUCAGAAGUAUAAAGGGCAUUAUUGUAAUCUCUGAUCUGACUGGUGAAUAUGUAUCUUCACAAUCAGAAGUUAGAAAUAAUGAAAUGAAACAAUCUUCUAUUAACUGGUUAAUAAAUAGAACUUUUCUGAAUGUUUGAUGCUUGUGUUUAGCCAUUUAUAUAUAGUAUAAUUUAUGUUUAAUCACACCCAAAGCCUUGCCAAGUAGUAGUCCCAUAGGAAUUACUCUAAUGAAUACAUAAGUGUCUCUUGUAUUGAGCAUAUUAAUUCCUUAUAUGCAAAUGAUUUCAAGUACUUGAAUAGUUUAAGAAGGAUAAACAUUAUCUCUGUAAUCUAUAUGAUUUUCAUUUCCUUAGCCAGACCUUUUCUGAUGGAUUAAAUAAAAGGAAACUUUACAAUCAACUGAAUACAAAUUAUCUUAAGUUUGGAAGAACAAAUUAAUGAGGUUUUAUGAUCUUAAGUUUCUUCUAGACCUCUCUGCCACCUGAUUCAAAAUAGGACAAUAAUAUACCAUAAAUUGGUAUGAAUGGCUCAUAGUUUUACAAUGAUUUUCAGUCUUUAUUUUUCUCUACUGACUUUUUUUAAAAUUUAAAUUUAUUUAUUUUAAUUGGAGGCUAAUUACUUUACAAUAUUGUAUUGGUUUUGCCAUACAUCAACAUGAAUCUGCCACAGGUAUACACAUGUUCCCCAUCCUGAACCCCCCUCCCACCUCCCUCCCCGUACCAUCCCUCUGGGGCGUCCCAGUGCACCAGCCCCAAGCAUCCUAUAUCCUGCAUCGAACCUGGGCUGGCGAUUCGUUUCUUAUAUGAACUUCUAGGUAAUUCAGCGUGUUACGGCAUGACUUCUCAGAACUUUUAUAGUGCGUUUAAAUAUGCAUGUAUGUGACUCUUCAAGACAGAGUCAUGAUUUCUUGCACUUUUCCAAACUUGUUUUCUGAAUGGAGAUCACAGGACUUCUGUAAAUUAUAUUUGGAAAUUGCUAUGGUCUAUCAGCACCUUUUUAAUCAUUC